UGCCCCAGUAACGGCGAGUGAAGCGGCAACAGCUCAAAUUUGAAAUCUGGCCCCCAGGGUCCGAGUUGUAAUUUGCAGAGGAUGCUUUUGGCGAGGUGCCUUCCGAGUUCCCUGGAACGGGACGCCAUAGAGGGUGAGAGCCCCGUCUGGUCGGACACCGAGCCUCUGUAAAGCUCCUUCGACGAGUCGAGUAGUUUGGGAAUGCUGCUCAAAAUGGGAGGUAUAUGUCUUCUAAAGCUAAAUAUUGGCCAGAGACCGAUAGCGCACAAGUAGAGUGAUCGAAAGAUGAAAAGCACUUUGAAAAGAGGGUUAAAAAGUACGUGAAAUUGUUGAAAGGGAAGCGCCUAUGACCAGACUUGGGCCCGGUGAAUCAUCCAGCGUUCUCGCUGGUGCACUUUGCCGGGCACAGGCCAGCAUCAGUUUGGCCCGGGGGAGAAAGGCUUUGGGAACGUAGCUCCUCGGAGUGUUAUAGCCCUUUGCACAAUACCCUGGGCCGGACUGAGGACCGCGCAUCUGCAAGGAUGCUGGCGUAAUGGUCAUCAGCGACCCGUCUUGAAACACGGACCAAGGAGUCGUCUUCGUAUGCGAGUGUUCGGGUGUAAAACCCCUACGCGUAAUGAAAGUGAACGCAGGUGAGAGCUUCGGCGCAUCAUCGACCGAUCCUGAUGUUCUCGGAUGGAUUUGAGUAAGAGCAUACGGGGCCGGACCCGAAAGAAGGUGAACUAUGCCUGUAUAGGGUGAAGCCAGAGGAAACUCUGGUGGAGGCUCGCAGCGGUUCUGACGUGCGAAUCGAUCGUCAAAUAUGGGCAUGGGGGCGAAAGACUAAUCGAACCUUCUA
rnacentral:rRNA from 1 species